GGAUGUGAGGGUGAUCUGGCUGUGACAUCUGUCAUCCCAUUGAUCACCAGGGUUUAUGUGGCUGAUCUGGUUGGUUCCACCCUCACUGACCCAUGUACCUUCCUCUUGAAGCUGUGGACUCAGGAGAAGAGGACAACCACCCUGACAGAGGACUAUUUCCUGGGCCAAGGGUAACUCUGUUGCCCUGGCAGAACCUCCAAAUGAGCUCUCCAAUAAUAAUGCACAUAGAAUUAUCCAUGAUACAAAUAUUUAAAAGAAGUAAACACAUAUUAAACUCUGGCUGACACACUGAAUUGUUUU
rnacentral:snRNA from 1 species